AUUGAACGCUGGCGGCAGGCCUAACACAUGCAAGUCGAGCGGAUGAAGGGAGCUUGCUCCUGGAUUCAGCGGCGGACGGGUGAGUAAUGCCUAGGAAUCUGCCUGGUAGUGGGGGACAACGUUUCGAAAGGAACGCUAAUACCGCAUACGUCCUACGGGAGAAAGCAGGGGACCUUCGGGCCUUGCGCUAUCAGAGGAGCCUAGGUCGGAUUAGCUAGUUGGUGAGGUAAUGGCUCACCAAGGCGACGAUCCGUAACUGGUCUGAGAGGAUGAUCAGUCACACUGGAACUGAGACACGGUCCAGACUCCUACGGGAGGCAGCAGUGGGGAAUAUUGGACAAUGGGCGAAAGCCUGAUCCAGCCAUGCCGCGUGUGUGAAGAAGGUCUUCGGAUUGUAAAGCACUUUAAGUUGGGAGGAAGGGUUGUAGAUUAAUACUCUGCAAUUUUGACGUUACCGACAGAAUAAGCACCGGCUAACUCUGUGCCAGCCGCCGCCGCAGUAA
rnacentral:rRNA from 1 species